GACGAACGCUGGCGGCGUGCCUAAUACAUGCAAGUCGAACGCAGUGGGGACGGGUGAGUAACACGUGGGUAACCUCCCAUCAGAGGGGAUAACACUUGGAAACAGGUGCUAAACCGAUACUGAUGGAUGGACCCGCGGUGCAUUAGCUAGUUGGUGAGGUAACGGCUCACCAAGGCCACGAUGCAUAGGCCGCCGGGAGGGGUGAUCGGCCCACCUGGGACUGGGAAACGGCCCAGAACCCUACGGGAGGCAGCAGUAGGGGAUCUUCGGCAAUUGACGAAAGUCUGGAUGAGCAACGCCGGGUGAGUGAAGAAGGGUUUCGGGUCUGAAAACUCUGUUGUUAGAGAAGCGGUAUCUAACCAGAAAGCCACGGCUAACUACGUGCCAGCAGCCCCGGGAAUACC
rnacentral:rRNA from 1 species